GUCAAUGCUUCUCCGACGGCAGCGGCUUUAUGCGAGGCGUUCACAGUGUUCAUUAUCAAUGGCGGGAUCGCGGGAAGGAAUGGAGGGGUUUUAUUUAACCUACAAAAUCCUCCCAUAUUUUCCCAUCCAGCUAGCAGAGGCAGGAGCUACGGGGAAGCAGGAGCACCGAGAGCAGAGGCAACAAACCAAGCGUUUAUUCAGAACCUCAAGAUUCUGAAGCAUCCGUGAUUCAGAACCUCCAACUGAUGUCAUUUCGUGUACUGGUUUUCCAGCUCCAUAUCGAGGAGUUUGAGAUCUUCAACAGUUUUCGAUGCCAUAGCCGGCCCAAGGGUCGAAUCAGGCUGUUGGAAGAAGUUCACACAAGAUGAUUGAAGCUGCAAUGCAAUCAACUACAAAGGGAAAGAUCCAAACAAUUAGGCAAGCUUACUUUCCAAGCAUUCUUCAAAUUUUAGGGGUGACUGGAAGAGAAGAUUCUUUGUUCUCGAUGGCUGUGGAAUAUUGUAUUAUUACCGCCAACAAGACUGGGGCAAGCAAAUGGGCCUGUGAUGAUUAAAUAUACCAUUGCUUUGUAGAAUUUGGGACAUAUAAAGAACUUCUUCGCUCCCAGAUAUAUUGGAAAGUAUCAACGAGUAUAUCGAUGAUGCUGAAAUGAUGGAUAAAAUGACUACCAAGAGCCGAUGUGAAUUGAAACACUGACCUGUUCACACUGAGGAUUAGAAUCAGACCAUGUAGGUGCCAACUCACAAACAUAAAUGUAUCGUUCAAAAUUUCGGUACAUUCUCUUUGUGUUGCUAGAGCUAGAUAGAUAUUGUAAGGUUUUAUUGAAGAAACACACUUGUUUUAUUUUCAAGGCAACAAAAAGUUGUUCAAUACAAAAACACAAAAUGACUGGCAAUGGUCACAUUCUCAACCAUUAUUUAGACUUAAAACUCACUGCUAAACCAAAGGGUGUUUUGAGACCCAAGAUUCUGAAGGAUAAAAUUAAAACCAAAGGGUGUUUUGAGACCCAAGAUUUUGAAGGAUAAAAUUAUUUUUAAAGGGUGGUAGCUCAAUGGACGAGUACCUGCUUUACAAGCAGGAGGAUGGUGGUUCAAUUCCAUCAUGCCCUAACAUAUGUGUAAAUGUGCACCAAUAAUGAGGUUGAAACCGAGAGCUGUUUAUCCAGAAACAGCAUGGACAACAAUGUGACAGUCCUUUAUUUUAAAGGUUGGUGUGCUUUGGUUGGCUUGUAGUAUGCUUAUUUACUGUAGGGACUGUAGCCAUGGUAAGUUGCCUUGUUUUUCACUUUUCAGAAUUGAGAAUGGUUGAUCUUAUUUCGUAGUAUUUCUUUCUUGAGAAAUUUGCUGUUAAAAAUUAAUGAGAAUUUAGCAAUCUAGCAGCUAGUUGGCUUGGAUUUAUCAUUUUAUGUCAUCUGAUGAUUGGAAUGUCCUUAAAAUCCAAGCAAACAAUACUGAUUUUUACCUCUGCCUGUCAGUCAACAAUUACCUUGAUCACAAGUCUAGUAUAUUUCACUUCCAUAUUACCAUGCCUGUGUUUAUGUCUUAAGAUUACUAAUUCUUUGAGGUUGAACUCUCAACAGGCCUUACAUUUGCAUACACUGAAAGUGUCAGUUUUCCAUUGCUUCAUAUUCUCACGGGACACUUUACUAUCAAUGGCUUUAAUUUUUCCAGCUAAGAAGAUGUGAUCUGUUUCAAAAUCCCUGGCAUGCUGUUUUCAUCAAAGACUAGAACCAUUUUGACAAUUAUUGAAGCAAUUUUAAUUUGAUUUUUGUGUUGACAGGGCAUAGGCCUUAAGAAUAUAAGCAAGGGAGAAUAAAUCUAUGAUUCUUUGAUAGCGAUAGACUGGGCUAGUCCUGAGACCAUAGAUAGCAUAUACCAAUCCCUUAUAAGAGAAAGUAGCUAGAUGUGAGAGGGAAUAUGUAUGCAUAUCUUGAGAUUGGUCAAUUGAGCAAGAAUAAUAUUAUUUUGAAGAGGUUGAAUUUCUAUGAUAUGCACAAUCCCAGCAUCCAUUCUUUGGUACACUAUUAAACUCCAGAGGUUAACAACAGAGAGAAACCAGUUAUAAUUUCUCGUCAUUAUAAAUAUUAUGUCCUAUAUGAUAUAAUAACUUUAAUAGAUGAUUGAGGUCCAAAUUUUUGCUUUGUUA